rnacentral:sRNA from 1 species
UAUGUAUUUAUAAUUACGAAUAUUGAAAUUCAAAUCAGCAAACAUGGUGAACAGAUUAUGUCUGGAUGAUGGAAAUCACACAUUCUAAUACGUCUGAACUCUCAAGUUUUUUAUUUUAUAGCCGGUAACACUAUAGGAGAAAAUAAUAACAUAUUA